GUCUCCCUCUUUCUAGAGGGGCAAUCCUCAGCAUGCUAGCCACCCACCAAGCCAUGUGGAGAUGAUUUGGCAUCAUGGAACCCCAGAUACUUAUGUGGUCUUCCUUUUGCUGAUGUUGUUAUUUACCCCAUCUGAACCACACAAGGAUUGCAUCUUCUAUAAUUCCCCUAUUGAUACUGCUUCUGACAUUCAAAAGGAAGCUGAAAAGCUGGUGAGUGUUUUGCAUACUGGAGACCAGACUAAUAUAUAAGCCUUAAUCCAUCCAAGUGACAAUGAGAAGGUCAGGACAGCAUAGAUUAGGGACAUGCUGAACCAUGUUCACAACAAACCUGUAGAUUUUUGGAAGAUUUACAAUAAUCUUUGACUCGCAACAUACUCAACAAAAUCAUGUGAAUCUUGAAGUUAGAGGUGUAUAUUUUGUUAUACAUUCAGUUCUGUGUCAGUCUUCUUUNUCUGCCAAAGGGUUUUUCACAUGUAGUAUGUGAAUUUUAACUAACUGCUUUUUACUAGGUCUUUGUGCAGUUCUAAUGGGGAAUUUCAGAGCCCCUGUUUUGUAUUCAGUCAGAUGUAGGCUGUUUUCAGACAGGGUGUAAAACCUGGGAUUAUCACAGGGCUAUGUUGGGGUUGCCACAGAAACAUGUGGCAAUCCCAACAUAGCCCCAAGUUAUUUGGCAGAUAAAUUUGGCAGAUCAGUCCUGGUAUUCUGUAGGCUUGAACUCUCUGAGCCUUGAGGGCCCUUCAGAUUCUUACAGUUCCUCUUGUGUUCAACCCAGGCCUGUCUUUCUUUUCUGUUGAUUCAGGAACUGUACCUUCUCCUCGAUUAUGAAGUUCCGGUGCCAUCAAACCUAAAAGAGGAUAAGGUAUGCCAGGACUUAUGGAAACUUCAUUUCAAACACAAAGUAUUGAAGCAUUUGGUAAACGUAUCUGGAUCUACUCUGCACGAGAUGAUCUUAAAAAUAAAGUAUCAAACAGAUUUUGUGGAAGAAUGCAGUAUUGAAGAUAGUUGUGUUGUUUUUUCACGGAUGAACAUCUCACAGUUCCUGCAUCAUCUUUCCUCCAAUUUUGAAAAUUUGAGGCACCAGAUGAAAGACAAUGAGGCGGUGGCUGCUGACUUCAGUAAUUGCACGAUUGUCCAGUGCAGACAAGAGUCUUUUAUUACUCCAGUCAUCGAAAACACAGGAGAAGCUGAGCAAAGCAUCAAAUCAUCUCCGCAAAGCAGCCAACCAUCUCAGCCAACAUGGUCUGGCAGAUCUUACUGGGGACUCAUUCUCAUUCCAGCUACCUUGAUCUGCUUCAUCUUUAUUUGG
rnacentral:lncRNA from 1 species